CCUUUCGACAUUUGGACCCCAGCUGGGCACCCUCCCCCAGCUCCCCUAAGGCUGAGGCCCCACUGAGAGUGCGGCUGCCUGGGGCUAUUUCCGGAGGGCAGAGUGGGGCGUGUGUGCACGUCCAGCGAGGGCAGAAAAAAAGCCAUGGGGGGAGGGAAAUCGACAAUUCGUGUCACCCUCAUCCUCAAGCGUCCCCUCCCCAGGAGCUUCAUCAGGGAAUGACCUGCAUGGCUGUAGGAACCCCCAAAAUGUUGUGUGUUGCUGGUGUAUAAGAAAGCGUGGAACAGGUGCAGCUCCAAAAUGGUGCUGCAAGGCCGAUGUCCCCUGGGCUGCAGCCUGGCCAUGUGGAAGCUUCCUGUUGUCACAUCUGAUGCCAUAUUCUGGGAGCGAUGUUUUAGCUUUGAAAAUGAGCAAGUACAAAGUGGUGUGGUCCAGGCAACCUACAACCUGUGGAAGGAGGCAGGACAAGCAGUGGUCCUGUGUUCAGUGGCACUCUGCCUGCAGAGAGCCCCAACAGAAGGGACAGAAUCUGUGGGGCCUGUCCCAUGAGCAUGCCAGUGCCAACAGAAAGGGGAAGAGAAGGUGUCUCUCCAGCUCACACUCGAUGGACAGAGCCAGCUUGGCAUUCCAACUCCUUGGCCUCUGUGGACUAAGUCCCCCAGGGCCUCCAGAUGAAAUUCAAAGGCAAGCAUUUUCCCACUGUGGAGGAGGUGAAACAACAGCAGAAGCACCAGAAGGCAUUAAAAUCAACAAAUUCAAAAACUGAGCAGUGGAAAAAAACAACUUGGACCCUCACGGGACUCUGAGCCUGGCCAUCUGGACUGGGUCCCAGGGGCAGUCGACAGGCCCUGUUUUUGUGUGCUCCGGGGAGAGGUGACGCCUGGAGCGCUGAGAGCCCUCUGGGAACCAUGAAGAGAAUCCGGAGACACUGAUCCUGUUUUUGAGCUCUUAAGCCACUGCCAACCUCUAACCUUGAAACCACUAAUACAAAAACUCCAUGUGUCAUUACCCAAUGACAGACAGUAGCUAGUAAGCUACUGUCACUGGGUUUUCUGUUGUAUUUGCCAUUGAUCUCACAGCUAUCUGAACUGCAUCAUCUAAAAGACUUGGUGGGGCCAGAGAGUCAGAAGUCCAUUCAUUUUCACCAGGCAGGCUCUGCGCUGCCAGCACCUUCCUAAGUUCCUCCACUGCCCAGUCAGAUCAGGCUCCUGAAGGCAUUGGUUCCUCUGUUGCUUCUCUCUGCAUCGCGGGUUUACCUCUGUCUGUCACCCCAUCCCUAAAUCGGCUUCAUCUUAAAGGCACACACUUGUCUGUAGUCUCUCCUACAGCCCUGUCCUUCGUAAUUCCCCAGUAAGACACUUCUGUGCGGUCACCGUGCAGCCUAGACCCUCCCGGCAGCCUCGUUGGAGUUGCCUGUGCCAUGGUCUCCUGUAAGUGCAUCUACACUUGUUACAUCACACAUCUUGUUUUGGUGUGUGUUUGGGGGGGAGUGGGAGGUAAUAAUCAAGUUAAUUCAGUUUCUCUUAGUCCAACGUUAGUUUGAAGAAUAACACUAGUGCCCCUUCCUGAUUUCGCUUCUUCACAAAACACAGUUUUGAGCCAUGAUGCAGUUUGUUUGAUUCUCCAAGUCCCUCUGCUGGAAAUCAGAGGAGGGGCAGGAGAAUUACAUUGAAUGGAAUGAAGAAAUGACGUAAGUAGCCAUUAGUUACUUAACACUGCGAUGCAGCAUUAGUUCUUCCAUCAUUUCAGGUAACCAUGGAGCUUCUGCAAAUAAAAAGAAGUUUCUAUAAAGCAGUGGUUUCAUUCCAGAAGCUUCUUGAUAAUCAUAGCUCCAUUAAUGCAAGAGUUUUUUUUUUUAUAAGACUCAAUUUCUCUUUAGUCUAAGUAGGAAAAUUACUCCUAGGAACUGAAUAGUUACUAAAAAAAUAAGAUAGUUGAAUUAGAUUACCUUUAAUGUUCCUUCCAGCUUCAAAUAUGUGAUUAUAAUGAACUUUUCAGACUUGUGUUUGAUGAAACUCACCUCUCCAAAUGAUCAAGUGAUAGUGUAGGGAACUAAACAACAUGUAUCUCCUUCUCUUCCUUAAUAAUUCUUUCCCAAAGCCAUUAGGUGAAGCAGAGUGAAGUGGCCAGAGUCACAGUGGAGGGAAGGAGUGAGACAUUAUGGCUCAGAGUGGGAAAUCAGGGCCCAAGUAAGGUGACGAGGGUGUCUCUAUGAUGGGCACCCCAGAUCAGUUUAAUAAGUGUAUUAAGAGUAACAGAAACUGUGUGUAUUAGCCGGCUUACACUGUCAUAUCUGAAUCCCACAGACUAAGUAGCUGAAACAACAAGAUGUGACAUUUUUAUGGUCUGGAGGCCAAAAGCCUGAGAUCAGCAUGACCACAAGAUCCAGUUCUGCUGGGGUCUCUCCCUGGCUGUCAGACACCUGGCUGCUCUGUUUGCACCUGGCCCGGAGCUCUGGGCUCCGCAGGGCACUAACCCCACCACAGGGGCCCCACCCUCAUGACCUCACCUAAAUCUAGUCACCUCCCAAAGGCCCAUCUCCAAACGCCAUCCCAUUGGGGGACAGGGCUUCACCCUAUGAGUUUCAGAAUCGGGGACACAGUUCAGUUCCCAGUUUAUACGUUUUUCAGUACCGGAGAAGGGAGGUACAAAUGACAACUAUGUGAUGGGAAAAAAACUAGAAUGCACCUGUGGGGUUGCACUGGAAGUGGAGAAAUUAGUUUGAACUCAUGAUCUGCAGUAUAUAGAUAGAUACAGAAAUACUUACGGAUGAUAGAUACAGAAAUACAUACGGACGUGUAACACAAACGAAAAUAGAAACGUAUGUGUGCACACGUGGACCUGCACCUACAUUCACUCCCUCUGUUCACUGAGGGCGACUGGGAGCAGCCCUUCUGGCAGAACGAACACAUGUAGGGGAGGAUGUUGGCUGCUCCACUGAAUGGAACCAGGGAUUCUUAGAGAAAUGGCUGAUUCUGGGGUGGGCAGGUGAAUGAAGCACAAGAUGAGCCUGAAACCCGCUUUGUGCCAGCAACCAAGGAAGUGCCCAAGGAAUGAUGGAGUCGUGUAAAAAAGCACAGAAUCACGUUUGAAUGGGCUCCUGCUGCCAAGUGCAGGACAAGUUCAGCAUUAAGCGAAAUAAUGGUACAAAUAGAUUUAACAGAGCAAAUAAAACAGGAGCCUAUGAAAACUUACAUUUUAAUAAAGUAAAACUUGGGCGAGGAAUGAGAUGUUGACAUAGCAACAGAAUAUCUCCCCACAGAGUAUUUACUCAUCGGAAAGGGAGAAAUGGUGCCUUUGCAGUGGAGAAGCCUGGUGAACAUUAUCGUAAGCAACCGAACCAGACAGCGACUGAGGGGGACAGACUGAAACGGAGCACCACCCGUCAGGACGGGAGAACAGAGCACCGCUUCUGCCUUAUUCUCGCCAAAGAUUUAGCACCUGAAUCAAAUCAGGAGAGAGCAGCAAUAAGUCCAAAUGGAGGGGUAUUCCGCAAAGGAACUGCCCUGUACGCUUCCAAGUGUGUCAGGCUCAUGCAAAGCAAAGAAGGACUGAAGAGCUCCUUCCAACAGAAGAAAGGGGAAGAUGGGUGCUAACGAAAUGCAAGGUGUGAUUAUAGAUUGGAUCCUCUUGCUGCAACGUCGAGACACUGAGGAGAAGAUGGGAGAAUCCCGAAUAGGGUCUGAGGAAUGGAGGGUGCCAGUGCCCCCCUGUUAAAUCCCAGACUUUGAUGGUGGAACCAGGGUCAUGUAGAGAAUCGACACCAAGGAUUUCAGGGUGAUGGGGCAUCGGGGCGGCACUUACCCUCAGAUGGGUCAGAAAAGUUUUUUGUACUGUAGCUCUAAUUUUCUGUAAGUUUGUGAUUCUGUUGAAAUUUUAAAAAUGUGAAAAUUAAGCAUUAUUCAUAAUGAAUCUAAAACCAAACCCAGUAAAUUUUAAAAGCAAAAUCACCGAGUUUCCAAUUUCAAAAACCUGUCAGCCCAAACCCAUAGAAUGCACACCAGUGGUGCCCCCCGAGGUGAAGUCUGGACUGUGGGUGACUGUCAGUGUGGGCGCAGCAGCUGCAACACAGGUGCGGCUGUUGUGGCCGAUGCUGACAGUGGGGGGGCUGUGCCCGUGUGGGGGCACCAGUGUAUGGGAAACUCUCUGUACCUUGCUCUCAACUUUGCUGUGAACCUGACACUGCUCUAAAAUAGUCUUUAAUAAAGAAAAAAGGCCAGUGAUGUACUUGUUGUAGAGUUUGCACAAAUAUAAACUUGACCUUAUUAUGCGAUACAAGUAUAUACUUAGCUCACUUGGCAGGCCCUUACUGUGUAAUGCAAGACCAAAUGCUGUAAUGAUUCUUUUUUUUUUUAAGAUUGUAUUUAUUUUUCUUUUAGAGGGGAAGGGAAGGAGGAGGGGGGGAAAUAUCAAUGUAUGGUUGCCUCUCGUGCCUCCCCUGCUGGGAACUGGCCUGCAACCCAGGCAUGUGCCCUGAUUGGGAACUGAACUGUAAUCCUUUAGUUCGCAGGCCCGUGCUCAAUCCACUGAGCUACACCAACCAGGACUGUAAUGAUUCUUAAAAACUGGUCUGAUGUGGAGUCUGCCUGCAAGGAGCUCACGAGGUGGUUAGACAUGCAUGCCCCUGACUGCAAUUCCGUUCUUUAUCACUCUAGCGCACAGGUGGCAAACACAAGGCCUGGGGGCUCAGUCCAGCCCUCCACCUUGUUUUAUCUGGCCUGGCACCUUGUUUCUACCUGGCGGCAGCACUGAGCUCCUUGCCCCUAGUUAAGGAGCAGUUACAUUCAUACAGUCCUAAAAUUACAUUUGGCCCUUUGAGGGCAACCUCAAGGCUGAUGUGACCCCCAGUGAAAAUGAGUUUGACAUCCCUGCUCUAGUGGACAAAGCAUUUAUUUAAACAUCUCUUUAAACUACCUGGCUGCUGUGGCUCAGUGGGUUAAGCGCAGGCCUGAAAACCAAAGGGUCUCCAGUUUGAUUGCCAGUCAGGGCACAUGCCUGGGUUACGGGCCAGGUCCUCUGAAAGUAGCAGGUGAGAGGCAACCACACAUUGAUGUUUUGCUCCUUCUCUUUCUCUUUCCUUUCUCCUCUCUAAAAAUAAAAUAAAUAAAGUCAUUUAAAAAACCCCUACACACAUGCUAACAACUAACUGCAGAAAGGGAGGGAAAUUGAGCUAUGGGUUUGGAGCUGACUUAAUAACACAAAAGAAAGCAGUCAUAUUUCUAGAGCUGAACUCUUGUGACAUGUGUAUAUGUGUAUGAUCUAUCUUACAUCUUUAUAAUCUCUACCACACAGGCUCAUAUAUAUUAUAUUUGAUUAAAUCUCUCUGGUAACUUUUAUCUUUUACCUUCACUAUGAAAUG